AAGUCGCAAGCUCGCGAGAGUAAGCUAAAUCUCUUAAAGCCGUUCUCAGUUCGGACUGUAGGCUGCAACUCGCCUACACGAAGUCGGAAUCGCUAGUAAUCGCGGAUCAGCAUGCCGCGGUGAAUACGUUCCCGGGCCUUGUACACACCGCCCGUCACACCAUGGGAGUUUGUAACGCCCAAAGUCGGUGACCUAACCUUUAUGGAGGGAGCCGCCUAAGGCGGGACAGAUGACUGGGGUGAAGUCGUAACAAGGUAGC
rnacentral:rRNA from 1 species